UACGAUGCUCAAGAGAGAAUGUUAUUAAAUAUCAAACAGUAAAUUUUGUGAAAGAAUAUUAAAAACGUUCAAUAUUGGUUAGGAAAUUAACGAUAUAAAAGGGAAAGUAAUUCAAAUUCUGCUGUUCCAACCUCAUUGUACAAUCGCAGCAAGAGCACAAAUUUUCAACUCUUGUAUUUUUGAAGAAAAUGCCGAAUUAAUGUCAAAUAUCAAGAAUCUAGACUUCUCUUCGAUGACACGUGAAAGACAGACGAAGCUUCAGAGAGGACUGAUGCACUGCGCCACAAAUCGACGGACUCGCUCACACAACGACGUGUCUGAUUGGUCGAAAUGAGAGGACGCCAACAUGGGACGACCAAUCACAGCCAUCGAUAGAAGUUUCAAAGUGCUUCGAAACAUUAAUACUAAUCGUAAGGGAAAGACACGUGCAAGACGAACGAAGCUUCGAAGAGUAAUGCUGUACUGCGUCACAAAUCGACGCACUCGCUCACACAGCGACGUGUCUGAUUGGUCGAAAUGAAAGGAUGCCGAAUGAAACAACCAAUCACAGCCAUUGGUAGAAGUUUCGAAACUGUAAUGCUAAUCGUAAUGGAAUCGUUCAUACAGUAACUGUCGUCGUGAUAUGGAUAAACUGAAAAAUAAAACACUGCAAGGAUGAAUGAAAAACAAAAUUCUUUUUAU